CCAACCAACGGCGACUUGCCGGUCGCCGCCGCCGCCAUGCUCCACCUCCAGAUGCACCCUCUCCCGCUGCCCCGCGCAGCCCCCCACCCUACCACGGCCACGCUCUCCUACUCUCUCCACCGCCGCCUUGCUCUCUCCGCCUCCAUCACCCCAUUCUCAACCGAGGAGUACCUCGUCGCCACCUGCGGUCUCACCCGAGCCCAGGCGCUCAAGGCGUCCAAGAAGCUCUGCCACCUCAAGUCCGCCUCCAACCCAGACGCCGUGCUCGCCCUCCUCUCCGGCGUCGGCCUCUCCCGCCCGGACAUCGCCGCCGUCGUCGCCGCCGACCCGCUGCUCCUCCGCUCCAGGGUGGACAACGUCGCCCCCCGCCUCACCGCCCUCCGCGACCGCCUCGGCCUCUCCGCGCCCGAGAUCGCCAGCUUCCUCCUGGUGGGCGCCACGGCGCUCCGGUCAUGCGACAUCACGCCCAAGCUCGAGUUCUGGAUCCCCUUCUUUGGCUCCUUCGGCAAGCUCCUCCAGACCAUGAAGAGGAACAGGUCCAUCCUGACCACCGAUCUGGAGAAGGUCGCCAAACCCAACAUAGCGCUGCUGGAGCAGUGCGGGCUAAGUGUUUGUGAUAUUGUCAAGCUCUCGACGCCCUGUUCCAGGCUGCUGGUGUUCAACCCAGAGCGGGUGAAGGCGUUUGUGCUGCGCGCCGAGAAGCUUGGCGUGCCCCGCUCCUCGUAUAUAUUCAAGUACGCGGUGGGUGUCGCAUGUUCUAUCACGGAAGACAAGGUCGCCGCGAGGAUGGAGUUCUUGAGGAGCACUCUUGGUUGCUCCAUGGACAAGGUCCGUGUUGCGGUUCGCAACAAGCCACAAAUUCUAGGAAUAUCCGAGGAGAAACUCCGUCUCAAGAUAGAGUUCAUGGUCAAUGAGGUUGGUUUGGAUCCAGAGUACAUUGUUGAGAGGCCCAUGCUGUUUACCUACAGCCUGGAGAAGCGGAUGAAACCCCGGUAUUAUGUCGCAAAGAUCCUGCAGGCUAAGGGGCUGAUGAAGAAAAGUGUCGGCUUCCGACGAUUAGUUGGCUAUGGUGAGGAUAAUUUCAUUGCAACGUACAUCGACAGUCAUAAGGACACUGUUCCUGGGCUUGCAGAUGCUUAUGCAGCGGCUCGUGCUGGGGAAAUGCUUCUGAUGUCCAGCCUUGAAUGCAGACAUUGAAGGUUCAUCCUAUAUCUCAGACUCAUAACUAGCAUUGCACGUUGUGCUCUGUUACGCAUUAGUGGAUAUUUGUUUAUGGUAAUGCCUUAUCGAAGCAUGAUUGUAGCUCAAGAAAUCAUGAUUUUAGCCGCAGAACUAUGGCUAUCUGAUUGCUCGUGAUGCCAUCCAUGUUUCAGCUCUGGAUUUAUGUGAAGCAACUUGAUUGUCUCAGUUUUGCUGCCUACAAAGAAUGUAUCAUAGCUUCCUGUAAUUGAGAAAGUGAUGUUGUUACAGCCACAUAUUUGCCCCCUUGUGCCUUAGACGUCAGGUUUCAAUUGAUUUUUGUGUUUGCUUAUAGGGGUAUUAAUUUUACAUUUUUGUUGCAUAUUCAAAUCAUUUUUAGCUAAAUAUGCACGUUUGUUAAUGUACUAAAUUUUGCUUUUGAUCAAAACUUCAUAUGAAUCUUUUGUGUAAAGUUAAUGGUUAAACAACAGUCCGAAAAUUAUGCCUGUUAACAGACUGAUUUAGUGCUGGAGUUUUCAGAAGUUUGGAUCUCACAGGUGACGUGGUUCAUGUUGACAAUGACCUGGGACAUGGCCACCGAAACUGUUCGUUUUUUCAUGUAAAAUGGAGCAUAACCCUGUCAAGUCUGGCAACUUCAAUUGUCAGGGCAGUAUUUCGUUUAUUUUCAACCAAUGAUGUCAAGUAAAUCCACAGCCUGGAGAAGCGGAUGAAACGCCGGUAUUAUGUCGCAAAGAUCCUGCAGGCUAAGGGACUGAUGAAGAAAAGUGCCGGCUUCCGGCGAUUAGUUGGCUAUGGUGAGGAUAAUUUCACCGUGACAUACAUCGACAGUCACAAGGACACUGUUCUUGGGCUUGCAGAUGCUUAUGCAGCAGCUCAUGCUGGGGAAAUGCUUCUGAUGUCCAGCUUUGAAUGCAGACAUUGAAGGUUCAUCCUGCCUCAUGGCUAGCUGGAACAUUGUGCUCUGAUACACAUGAGUGAGUGCUCGUUCAUGGUAAUGCCUUGUCGAAGCAUGAUUGUAGCUCAAGAAAUCAUGAUUUUAGCCGCAGAACUAUAGCAAUCUGAUUGCUCGUGAUGCGAUCCAUGUAUCAGUUCUGGAUUUCUGUGAAGGAACUUGAUUGUCUCAGUUUUGCUGCCCUACAAAUAAUGUAUCAUAGCUUCCUGUAAUUGAGAAAGUGAUGUUUUUACAGCUA